rnacentral:rRNA from 1 species
GAUGAACGCUGGCGGCGUGCUUAACACAUGCAAGUCGAACGGAAAGGCCCAAGCUUGCUUGGGUACUCGAGUGGCGAACGGGUGAGUAACACGUGGGUGAUCUGCCCUGCACUUCGGGAUAAGCCUGGGAAACUGGGUCUAAUACCGGAUAGGACCACUUCUUGGAUGUUGUGGUGGAAAGUUUUCUCGGUGUGGGAUGAGCUCGCGGCCUAUCAGCUUGUUGGUGGGGUAAUGGCCUACCAAGGCGUCGACGGGUAGCCGGCCCGAGAGGGUGUACGGCCACAUUGGGACUGAGAUACGGCCCAGACUCCUACGGGAGGCAGCAGGGGGGAAUAUUGCACAAUGGGCGCAAGCCUGAUGCAGCGACGCCGCGUGGGGGAUGACGGCCUUCGGGUUGUAAACUCCUUUCGCUAGGGACGAAGCGUUUUUGUGACGGUACCUGGAGAAGAAGCACCGGCUAACUACGUG